rnacentral:misc_RNA from 1 species
GGAAGGAUCAUUACCGAUAAUGACAUGCACCUUCGCUGUAGGUAGACCAGCCACUGGACUGCUGCAGUCAGAAUUUGAUGCAAAUCUAAUAACUCGCCUGGGGGGUUUGGAUGUCGGAUGCUGUUGCAGCCUGCGCCUUUGGGUCUCCUAUGCCUUUUCUUUUCCACCACACAAAACCUGUAAUCGUAUGGUGUUGCACAUAUAUAAUAUAACUUUCAACAACGGAUCUCUUGGCUCUCGCAUCGAUGAAGAACGCAGCGAAAAUGCGAUAAGUAAUGUGAAUUGCAGAAUUCAGUGAAUCAUCGAAUCUUUGAACGCACCUUGCGCUCCUUGGAAUUCCGAGGAGCAUGCCUGUUUGAGCGUCGUUGAACUCUCAGAACCCUACCCCGUGGGGUUGUGGAUUGUGGAGGAUGCAAAUGCCGCCCCAAUCGGGGGCACCUUUUUUGCUUCUCUGAAAUGCAGUGCCGUUACGGCUGCAGUCGGCGAACUACCACCCGUAAGAUAUCGGUGCCAAUGCUGAUCCUUUCUCGGCUGGUCUUCAACCGAGGGGCUCUCGUCAGCCGUCAUCCUGGCGGGGAGGUACAGGAGGUUCACCUGAUCCCACCAGGAGAGGGUGUCAGCUGGGGACAGCCACGGUGGCAACCGUCGCUGCAUGCUUGCAGCAGAUGGCAGGUGUGUCCUUCAUGGAUUUGGAGGCGCAUUGUUAGCUUCUCUGCAAGGCAUUGCCGUAACGUCAUGGCCGCGGUCACGAAUCUGAUGCCGAUAUGAUACACUCUUCUUACCCAAUUCUGAUCCGUGCCACCCGUGUCCGACGAUUUGACCUCAAAUCAGGCAGGACUACCCGCUGAACUUAGCAUAUCAAUAAGCGGAGGAAAAGAAACUAACAAGGAUUCCCCUAGUAACUGCGAGUGAAGCGGGAAGAGCUCAAAUUUAAAAUCUGGCGGCCUGCGGUCGUCCGAGUUGUAAGCUAGAGAAGCGCCGUCCGCGCUGGGGCCGUGUACAAGUCUCCUGGAACGGAGCGUCGUGGAGGGUGAGAACCCCGUCUGUGACACGGACCUCCCAGGGCAUCGGGAUGGCGCCCUCAAAGAGUCGAGUUGUUUGGGAAUGCAGCUCCAAAUGGGUGGUAAACUCCAUCUAAAGCUAAACAUUGGCGAGAGACCGAUAGCGAACAAGUACCGUGAGGGAAAGAUGAAAAGAACUUUGGAAAGAGAGUUAAACAGUACGUGAAAUUGUUGAAAGGGAAACGCUUGAAGUCAGUCGCGUCGGCCUGGGAUCAGCCCCGCAACCGCGAGGUGCACUCCCCGGUCGACGGGUCAGCACCAGUUUCGACCGUUGGAGAAGGGUCGGGGGAAUGUGGCAUCCUUGGAUGUGCUUAUAGCCCCCGAUCGCACGCAUCGGUCGGGAUUGAGGAACUCGGCGCGCCGCAAGGCCGGGUCUCAGACCACGUCCGCGCCCAGGAUGCUGGCACAAUGGCUUUAAUCGACCCGUCUUGAAACACGGACCAAGGAGUCUAACAUGCCUGCGAGUGUUUGGGUGGAAAACCCAUGCGCGCAAUGAAAGUGAAAGUUGAGAUCCCCGUCGUGGGGAGCAUCGACGCCCGGACCAGACCUUCUGCGACGGAUCCGCGGUGGAGCAUGCAUGUUGGGACCCGAAAGAUGGUGAACUAUGCUGAAUAGGGCGAAGCCAGAGGAAACUCUGGUGGAGGCUCGUAGCGAUUCUGACGUGCAAAUCGAUCGUCGAAUUUGGGUAUAGGGGCGAAAGACUAAUCGAACCAUCUAGUAGCUGGUUCCUGC